rnacentral:rRNA from 1 species
GUGAGGAAUAUUGGUCAAUGGACGCAAGUCUGAACCAGCCAUGCCGCGUGCAGGAAGACGGCUCUAUGAGUUGUAAACUGCUUUUGUACUAGGGUAAACUCAGAUACGCGUAUCUGACUGAAAGUAUAGUACGAAUAAGGACCGGCUAACUCCGUGCCAGCAGCCGCGGUAAUACGGAGGGUCCAAGCGUUAUCCGGAUUUAUUGGGUUUAAAGGGUGCGUAGGCGGUUAGAUAAGUUAGAGGUGAAAUACCGGUGCUUAACACCGGAACUGCCUCUAAUACUGUUUAGCUAGAGAAUAGUUGCGGUAGGCGGAAUGUAUGGUGUAGCGGUGAAAUGCUUAGAGAUCAUACAGAACACCGAUUGCGAAGGCAGCUUACCAAGCUAUUUCUGACGUUGAGGCACGAAAGCGUGGGGAGCAAACAGGAUUAGAAACCCCAGUAGUCC